UUUCCGUAGGUGAACCUGCGGAAGGAUCACUAAAGAGAACUUGCCCUUCGGGGUAGAUCUCCCACCCUUUGUUUAUCACACUUUGUUGCUUUGGCGGGCCUGCCCUCGCGGCUGCCGGCCUUCGGGCUGGUGCGUGCCCGCCAGAGAAACCCAAACCCUGUCUUACAGUGUCGUCCGAGUACUAUAUAAUAGUUAAAACUUUCAACAACGGAUCUCUUGGUUCUGGCAUCGAUGAAGAACGCAGC
rnacentral:misc_RNA from 1 species